ACGAUGGCGUGUGCAUGCAGUUAUGACAAUCAUGUAGAACCAUAUGUGAUUCAUCUUAACCCCAGCCUCCCGUUCAAAUGUAGUAUUAGUCAAGUUGUGUUGAUAAUCAUCAUCAUUUUGUUAGAUUCUUCAAUGGAAGUAUACAACACGUACAACUACUACAAAUAGAAUUCUUCAACUUUAGUUCAUGAAUCGUACUAGCAAAGGUUGGUCCAUAAGUCGAUCGUAACAUUGGGCUUCCUUUUCCAAAUCUUUAGUUUGUCCGAUAUCACUUGAAGGCUUUGAGUUCAAUAGCCUCUGCAUGUAACCCUUCUCUUCGGUGUUCAAGUUCGAAGCCUCACACGCAGUGCCGCUUCAUGACUCUGGUUUGAUCUCUCUCUCUCUCUCUCUCUCUCUCUCACUGCCUUCACUUCGCCUCUCAUCCAUGUUCGAAAUCGAAGCCUCAAUCCUUGAUUGAUGGCUGCUUGGCAAUUUGAUUCAGGGUUGAUUUGGGAAAAUGGGAACCAGAUCGAGUAGUUUUCUUCCAGUAGCUUCAAUUUCUUCUUCCUCUUCCUCUCUUUGUUCACUCGGUUCAAACAUGCCCGACUCUCCCAGACGGAGCUCUCCCAGACGGGUCUGAUUUAUAUAAUUAUAUGUUCUUUGCAUAGUUUUAGAGAAAAAUUUAGUUUCUUGGAAUCGUGAUGAUUAUAACUGAAUGGGAUUUGAACCACUAUGGUGGUUGAUUCAAUUGCUUAUACUAGUAUUAAACUCUUACCGCUGAUGCGGGGUUUUAACUAGUAGAAUCGUACUAGCAUUGUAUGGGUGCUUAUUAUGUUCUCAGAACAAUUACUCUUCAAGAGAAAAAGAACAUAAAAUAGAAAAGACGAGAUGUUUGUAUGCUAUCUUAGAAAGGGUUGACUGAUAUAUGGGAAGUGGAGAUGUGAUCUCAACGGAAGCUGUUGAGAGAAGUGGAGGAUAUUAUGAAUGGGUGGACAGCCCAAAAAGGAGCAGAUAGGAGUGCGGGAAGGAUGAGUUUUAUCUUUUUUGGAAGCUUUUGGUACAAGUGCAUCAUCGUUUUUUUUCUGAAUUUUUUCCUUGCUCUUUCUCUGUACAUUCUCUUUCUUUCUUAAUUUGGUAGCCUAGGUACCUUGAUAGUUAAGUCUAGUGUGUGUUUUAGAUCUAUGUUACUCUAUAAGAGUACUGGUUGAAAGCAUUCUUGUAGAGUCAGUAUUGAGCCAGAUGUGUUGAAAGCAUGGGCUGAUUCUGAAGGCAUAAAGGUACAGAUUUAGCUUUUUAGGUAUUAAUACUUCCAUGAAUGAGGUCAUAAUUUAAAUAUA